rnacentral:rRNA from 1 species
GGGUCAGUAGGUUGGUCGUGCCACCGGUACGUACUGGUCUCACUGAUUCCUCCUUCCUGAAUAACCGUAAUGCCAUUAAUUUGGUGUUGCGGGGAAACAGGACUGUUACUUUGAAAAAAUUAGAGUGUUUAAAGCAAGCUAACGCUUGAAUACAUUAGCAUGGAACAAUGAAAUAGGACGAUCGAUCCUAUUUUGUUGGUUUCUAGGAUUGACGUA